AUUUAUAAAAUGAAUUCAGAUCUUUUUGUUAAAGCUCAUUUAAAUAUUACAAAUAUGCUGCUAUUCGUUUUUAUGAUGAUUUCUCCCUUUGGGAGGCAUAAGAGUACAGGUUUGGAAACCUUAACGCAAACCAAACUUUAUGCUGGCAAUUUAAUUCUGCAAAACUCCUGGUUUAUGCUAUUUUUAAAAGUCUGCGUUUCCCUCCAACACUUAAAAGAUAGACACUCAAAACUCAAUAAGAUCUUCUAGAAAUUAAAAGGAUUUAAUUAGAUGAACCACAGUUUCUAAAUUAACUGCUUUUCACACACAUCCUUAGACCUGUGGUAGGUCAGGACUCAAUCUGAAUUGGGGAUUCAGCUGAAUUGCCUUUUUGGUGAGAAUCCCCGAUGGCCUCAUCGGAGAAUUUUUUACUUAAUAAAAAUAAAAGAGGGAGUUCCCCUUCCUUGCAUUUUUCGAAGCACUAAUUUUCUUCUAAUAUUUUGGGUAGUGCUUCAGGUUGGAGACAAAUGAGAUCACUAAACCCCGCCAGUGUGUGGACUCUGGGGCACAGUCUUCCAGUCCCCGAAGUUAAAUGUUUAGUUUGGGAAGGAGCGAGAGGGUUCCUACUAUUGUGGCAGGCUGCUUGGGGCAGGGGGUGUUCUCAAAUUACUGCUCCCUCACCGGGAAAGCCCGAACACAUCACGCUCAGUACGGGACGGAGAGCGAGACCACGCGGGGACUUCCGCCGGGCCAGGGCCAUUUGGGAACUGCGGCACCUAUACCAGCUCGGCGAAAACCAUCAUUAACGCGCCUUCGGAGCCACUCGGAGAGCCAGCCCACAGCCAGAGAGAAGAGUUUAGCCAGAGGUGUCCAGCUGUGGGGGAAGGGAGGGGAGGGGAGGAGUCUGGAGAGAUUCAGCCACACCUUCCCAGGUUCUGUCACUUUAAGGCAAACAGAAAUUCCCGAGUCCCGCCCCCUUCCCGAACAUCAGCUUACAAUUGGCUUACAGAGAUGCCAGUUGUGGACGGAGGUUUCAUCAUCUUCAGGCAUGGGGUUUUCCCAUUGGCCCAGGCGCUGGUGGUUUGUAAAUGGUACUGGAAAGGGGGAGGGGAGGAGGGUGUGCGAACGAGCGCGAGCGCGGCCCGGGCGGGAGCGGGAGGCUGGUUGGUUUCGCAAUCGCUUCUCGCCGUCCGCCGGUUCCAACUCUUCGAAGUCAGGCGUCGGGGUCGCGCCGCAGUGGGGGCCUCGCUGGGUCCGCCUCGGGUGGAGGCCCCCUAGGUGCAUGUGA
rnacentral:lncRNA from 1 species